rnacentral:lncRNA from 1 species
GGUUUAUUUGGCUCACAGUUUGUAGAGGUUUCCGUCCACAGUCGGCGGCUCCAAGGCAGGGCAUAGCAGAGGAGAAACAGUCCAUGGCAGGGUAGUGAGGAGCAGACAGAGGUCAAAGGGGGAGGGAAGGAGAUGGCCUCCAGGCCCUGCCCCAGUGACCACUGGCUUCCUCUCCCGACAGCACAUUCAGCUACAAACCCAUCAGUGGACUACUCCACUGCCCAGGAAAGGCGAACUGCUACCGGAUGACGUGGGGCGUGUGGUGCCCGUGUUUGGAGGCGCCAGCGCCGGGCUGCUGCAGGACACGGGUGAGGGCCUACGGGCAUGUUCAGGCCUGUGACACCUCUCAGGCAGGCUUGAGACUCAGAAUCCCAC